rnacentral:tRNA from 1 species
GGUUCCGUGGUGUAGUGGUUAUCACGCUCGCUUUACACGCAAAAGGUCCCCAGUUUGAUCCUGGGUGGAAUCA